rnacentral:rRNA from 1 species
UCCAGACUCCUACGGGAGGCAGCAGUGGGGAAUAUUGCACAAUGGGGGAAACCCUGAUGCAGCGACGCCGCGUGAGUGAAGAAGUAUCUCGGUAUGUAAAGCUCUAUCAGCAGGGAAGAAAGAAAUGACGGUACCUGAGUAAGAAGCCCCGGCUAACUACGUGCCAGCAGCCGCGGUAAUACGUAGGGGGCAAGCGUUAUCCGGAAUUACUGGGUGUAAAGGGAGCGUAGACGGUGAAGUAAGUCUGGAGUGAAGGGCAGGGGCCCAACCCCUGGACUGCUCUGGAAACUGUUGUACUUGAGUGCAGGAGAGGUAAGUGGAAUUCCUAGUGUAGCGGUGAAAUGCGUAGAUAUUAGGAGGAACACCAGUGGCGAAGGCGGCUUACUGGACUGUAACUGACGUUGAGGCUCGAAAGCGUGGGGAGCAAACAGGAUUAGAUACCCCGGUA